rnacentral:lncRNA from 8 species
UAGUGAUUUGCUUGUGAGAAGCGAACAUUUGGCUGACAGACAUUUCUCAUAGGAGAUCACAGACAGGACAUGGGGUCAAACAUGCCUAUUAUCAAGAGGAGGGAGAGACAUCUCUGCACCAGCUGCUUCUGAGAAUGAAGUCACUGGGAUUAUAGGAGAGACUGUUCUCCUGUCCUGUGACCUGAAUUCAUCCACGGCCAUCGACACAGCAAGACUCCGGUUCCAUUGGCAAGAUAAGUCCGGAAAAGUGUUGUACUCGUUCAACAAAGGAGAAGAGAAUAAACAUCAGGAUAACCUUUACACAAACAGAACUAAAGCCUUUGGGUCUGAGAUGAGUUCUGGGAAUAUCUCUAUCAAACUCAGCCAAGUAACACUUGAAGACAAGCAGACCACCUACUGGGCUUUCGCUACACUGUUUGACGAGAAUGGUAACUCUAUCCUCGACGUGAAAAAGUGUGUCCCACUACCGUACAUGUGGCAGCACGGUUCCCGACACCCAGUGUGACUGUGAACAAGACAAAUAUGAAUGCCACGUGUUCAACCCAGGGGGGAUACCCACAGC